GGACCCAAAACUUCUUGUAUAAUGAAUUGAUCAUCUACAAAUCUAAUGAUGACGACGACUUCGCAUCUGAUGGCGAUAACGACAUGUUAGAUUUAAUAAUAAACAGUAAAUAUAACAACUCAACGAUUGAAUGCAAAACAAUAUUUCCAAACUCUGCUUCUACCAGUAUCAUAGUGCAAUUGCUGUAUGAACCGAACAACACAUUACCAGAGCAUAAUAGACUGAAUCUGGCAAAUGCGAUUACGUAUGAAAUAAGAACUUACGACAUCGGCGAUGUUUGUGACACCAAUUCGAACAUAACUGUCAAGGCAGGGCCAUUAAUGGUCAAGAUUUUUGGGAAGUA